rnacentral:rRNA from 1 species
AUUGAACGCUGGCGGCAGGCCUAACACAUGCAAGUCGAGCGGAUGAAGGGAGCUUGCUCCUGGAUUCAGCGGCGGACGGGUGAGUAAUUCCUAGGAAUCUGCCUGGUAGUGGGGGAUAACGUCCGUAAAGGGGCGCUAAUACCGCAUACGUCCUUAGUGAGAAAGUGGUGGAUCUUUGGACCUCACGCUAUCUGAUGAGCCUAGGUCGGAUUAGCUAGUUGGUGGGGUAAAGGCCUACCAAGGCGACGAUCCGUAGCUGGUCUAAGAGGAUGAUCAGUCACACUGGAACUGAGACACGGUCCAGACUCCUACGGGAGGCAGCAGUGGGGAAUAUUGGACAAUGGGCGAAAGCCUGAUCCAGCCAUGCCGCGUGAGUGAAGAAGGUCUUCGGAUUGUAAAGCACUUUAAGUUGGGAGGAAGGGAAGUAAGUUAAUCCCUUGCUGUUUUGACGUUACCAAAAGAAUAAGCAACGGCUAACUUCGUG